AGUGAACGCUGGCGGUAGGCCUAACACAUGCAAGUCGAACGGCAGCACAGGAGAGCUUGCUCUCUGGGUGGCGAGUGGCGGACGGGUGAGGAAUACAUCGGAAUCUACUCUGUCGUGGGGGAUAACGUAGGGAAACUUACGCUAAUACCGCAUACGACCUACGGGUGAAAGCAGGGGACCUUCGGGCCUUGCGCGAUUGAAUGAGCCGAUGUCGGAUUAGCUAGUUGGCGGGGUAAAGGCCCACCAAGGCGACGAUCCGUAGCUGGUCUGAGGGGAUGAUCAGUCACACUGGAACUGAGACACGGUCCAGACUCCUACGGGAGGCAGCAGUGGGGAAUAUUGGACAAUGGGCGCAAGCCUGCUCCAGCCAUACCGCGUGGGUGAAGAAGGCCUUCGGGUUGUAAAGCCCUUUUGUUGGGAAAGAAAUCCAGCUGGCUAAUACCCGGUUGGGAUGACGGUACCCAAAGAAUAAGCACCGGCUAACUUCGUGCCAGCAGCCGCCGUAA
rnacentral:rRNA from 1 species